rnacentral:rRNA from 1 species
AUUGAACGCUAGCGGGAUGCUUUACACAUGCAAGUCGAACGAGUGGCGGACGGGUGAGUAAUAUAUCGGAACGUGCCCAGUAGCGGGGGAUAACUACUCGAAACAGUGGCUAAUACCGCCUACCAUUGGACCGGCCGAUAUGGGAUUAGCUAGUUGGUGGGGUAAUGGCUCACCAAGGCAACGAUCCGUAGCUGGUUUGAGUGGAUGACCAGCCAGACUGGGACUGAGACACGGACCAGACUCCUACGAGAGGCAGCAGUGGGGAAUUUUGGACAAUGGAGGGAACCCUGAUCCAGCCAUCCCGCGUGUAUGAGAAGGCCUUCGGGUUGUAAAGUACUUUUGACGGGGAAGCGUUAUCUGCAGAAUAAGCACCGGCUAACUACGUGCCAGCAGCCGCGGUAAUAC